rnacentral:rRNA from 1 species
AUGAAUAUCCUAGCAUGGAACUGCCGGGGGGGAGGGGACCGCCAGACAGUUCGUGAGGUUGUGGCCCUCUCAAAAGCCAAUAACCCCAAGCUUGUUUUCCUCUGUGAAACCAGGCAAGCGUCAAAUAAAGUGGAGAUCAAGUUGAGAUGGAGACUUGGUUUGAAGGGUUUCCAUGGUGUGUGCAGUGAUGGUCGGAGUGGAGUUUUGGCGCUCUUUUGGGACGAAUCUCUCUCAGUCACCGUCUUAGAUUCAUGUCAGAGAUACAUUGAUGUUUCAGUGACAGAUAAUGGGGCUGGUACAGUGUGGAGGAGUACUUUUGUUUACGGGGAACCACGAGUUGAGAGCAGGCAUGAUAUGUGGGAUCAUCUAACCACAUUACAUGCUACAUCCCCGGAACCUUGGUUUGUAUGCAGAGAUUUCAAUGAGGCGUUGUGGCAACACAAGCACCUGUCAAGGACGAUGCGAUCAGAGCCUCAGAUGGCAGCCUUUAGAGACUGCCUAAUGCUUUGUGAGCUCGAUGACCUUGGCUUCAGUGGUAUUCCCUACACAUACAAUAAUGGGCAGGAUGGCAAUCACAAUGUGCAAGUACGCCUUGACCGUGCAUGUGCGGAUGAAUUGUGGAGAGAGUUGUUUCCAGCGGCUAGGGCGUUGCACCUUGCCUCGUCUUGUUCUGAUCAUAGUCCGCUCCUGUGCAGCUAG